rnacentral:misc_RNA from 1 species
UCCCCGUUACCGAGGCAGUCUAUUCAGAGAAAUUCAACUGAAUAUAAGGGUUGCGCUCGUUAAAGGACUUAACCUAACAUCUCACGACACGAGCUGACGACGGCCAUGCAUCACCUGUCACCUGAUUCCCGAAGGCACUCUCUACUUUCGUAGGGAUUCCAGGGAUGUCAAGCCUUGGUAAGGUUCUUCGCUUAUCAUCGAAUUAAACAACACGCUCCACCGCUUGUGCGGGUCCCCGUCAAUUCCUUUAUGUUUUAAGCUUGCGCUCGUACUCCACAGGCGGGAUGCUUAACGCGUUAGCUUCGCUACUACGAGGGUCGAUACUCAUAACAGCUAGCAUCCAUAGUUUACGGCGUGGACUAC